rnacentral:rRNA from 1 species
UACGUAGGGGGCAAGCGUUGUUCGGAAUUACUGGGCGUAAAGGGCGCGUAGGCGGCCGAAUAAGUCUGACGUGAAAUCCCACGGCCCAACCGUGGAACUGCGUUUGAUACUGUUCGGCUCGAGUCCGGGAGAGGGUAGCGGAAUUCCCAGUGUAGCGGUGAAAUGCGUAGAUAUUGGGAGGAACACCGGUGGCGAAGGCGGCUACCUGGACCGGUACUGACGCUGAGGAGCGAAAGCGUGGGGAGCGAACAGG